CACCUGCCCUGCCCAGAUGUCUAUUGCUGCCUCUGUGACUCUAAACACUUUCCAGUUUGAGUGGCACCUUUUCUACUAGUCUGGAAGUUUAUUGGCCUUUGUGUCCCCAGUACCUACCACUUCUCCUGACACAGAGAAUGUGCUCAAACGUGUUUGCUGAAUGAACUAGAAAGUCUAAAUUAUUUCAGCUCUGCAUUAGCAAGAGUCAAUGCCACAGGGAACUAGCUGAUCAAACACUCACAGACUUUCAGACCUGCACGGGGCUUGUGGCAGCCAGCCCUCCAGAUGACCUCCAAUGAUCCCCUCCUCCUGGAAUUCAUACCUUCUUCAGUCCCUUCCCACAAUGUGUCAGGGUUGGUCUGCGUAACCAAUAGAACGAGAUGGAUGUAACAAUGUGUGACUUCCACGCCACUUCUGCCUUGCUCUGCCUUGAGUCACUCGUUCUGAAGGAAGCCAGACGCCAUGUUAUAAGGACACUCAAGCUGGCCUAUAGAGAGGUCCAUGGGAGGAGGAACUGAGGCUAGCUGCCCACAGCCAGCAUCAGCUUGCCCACCAUGGGAGGGAGCCUCCUGGCGAGCAGACCCUUCAGGCCUAGGUCAAGCCCUCAGGUGUGGCAGCCCCACCCACUGUCUUCUUGACUGCAGCCUCAAGAAAGAUGCUGAACCAGAACUACGAGCUAAGCUGCUCCCAGAGGAUCUGCCAGAUAGUUCUCAUCCUCGUCAGAGUCCCCUGCUUCUCUGCGUCCCUCUGGGUUAGAUGGAAAUCCACAGGUCACCAGACAAAAAGGGGCACCUGGUGCUUUUUGAUGAGCAAGAACAGAAGUUUCGAGGCCUCCGGGAAUUUUUGAAAACCUUUGGUGAAACGAAUCAGAAGAUCUGGAAGCUGUAUCUUUAAAAGGUUCCCUCUGUGGCUGCUGCCAGAUUUUGGCCUCAGGCUUGAGUCCUGAGCUCCCCCAGGGCUUGAGAAAGGGACAAGAGGAAACUGGUGCUGGGCCCUUCCCGAGGUUCGAGGUUGGAGAGCCACCGUAGGGAAGAGAGGGCCCCUCUCACUCCACCUCCUGGCCCGGGGCCUCGGCCUCUCCCUAGGAGAGUUUGGUGAUACCUCGGUGGUUCCUGACAGGAAAUCCCCUUCUGCCUCAUGGAAAACCCAGACAAGGAAGCAGAGCAGCCCCCAUGGACUGUUCAGGCUCCACCCAGCGUUGUAGAAGUAAAAAAAGGUCCAUCAUCUCAGGCCGGGGUCUGGAAGCCCCUGGGCUCUGACCACACUUACAAGGACACUGCAGCCUGUGAGGAGACACACACAGAACACCAGGCCUCUUACGGUGGCAUCGGCACCAUAGCUUACCAGGUCCACAGUGGUUUUGACUCUUACAUCAACUUGAUGAAGUCUGCAGAGGAACAGGUAUCGCUCCCUCCGUUUGGCAAAUGAGAAAACCACAGCCAAGAGGCUCUGCCGGAGAUCUAACUCAAGGUCAGGACCAAGCCCCAGAGUGCAGCUGAGUCCCAGUGACAGAGUCGGACACUCACGCCAAGCACACCCUGAGCCGGGCCACCUCCCAACCCAUCCCACCCCCUCCCUGUUGGGGUGAACGGGUCCUGCCUGGGGGCAGCAGGUCGUGCGUGGAGGCCUGAAGGAUGCCGAGUGAUGACUCGAGCAGCCGUCUUCUGCUGUGGGGCCUUCCUAGGCCUUCCAAGAGACCAGGUGAAACCAGGAGGCCCUGCCCCAAGCCUUGCCCUGUCUUACUUCAGUAGGUAGAGCUAGGCUCAGGAUGGAACCCUGGGGUCGGCCAAGAUGCCUGGGGCCUCGCUUCUAGCUGCCUCUGCAGCCUGGGAAACCUCUGUCCUCACUUCUGUGCUGGCCUCACCAUGGAGGGGGCUUUCUCUCCCACCUUCCCUACCAAGGACCCCUUUAAUCCCGAAACUGUGUUUUUACCAUACAAACCACAAUUGCUGUGUAACGCUUCCUUCAUUUUCUCAGUUUGUGCUGACCAAGGCUGUGAGAGCCAUCAGACCCCUGGGCAGUGGGGACAACCCAUGCCAUGUUCUGCACUGCAGACUCCCACACGAGCCUGCACGUCCAUCCCCUUUCUCGACACUCCUUUGUAAGUCAUUGUUUGACAUUCUUACCCACUCAUAUUCCUUUCCUAUGACUGCUGUAACAAAUCACCACAAACUUGGUUUGAAACAAUAGACAUUUAUCCUCUCACAGUUCUUGAGGCCAGAAGUCUGGACCGAAGGUGUUGGUAGGGUUGGUUCCUGCCGGAUGCUCUGAGGGAGAAGCUUGUCCAUGCCUCUCUAGCCUCCAGUGGCAGUCAGCAAUCCUUGGCUUGUAGGAGCAUCACUCUAGUCUCUGCCUCCAUUUCACGUGGCCUCCCCUGCUCUGUCUCACGGUCUGUUUCCCAGAGAAACAUUCAUACGUUGUUAGAUUUCAACAAAUGAAUUUUGAGGGGACACAAAUGUGAAGUCCAUCACGCUCAUUAUUUCCAAUAAGACAAGGAUCUUUAGACUCAUCUUUGAAAAUGAUUCUCAAGUUAGAGAACCAUGGAGAGAACAUCAGUGUCCAUCCAGCUGAGCCCCCACGGUAUAGAUGAAUCUCCUCUACAAGCCCCUCUCAAAUGAUUUCCUAGUGUCCACCUAAACACCUCCAUCCACCAUGUCCGGAGGCAGCCAUAGAGUCCUUGGGUCGCCCUACCAUGGAGGAACAUUGUCCUGCUGAGUUACAGUCCAGAACCUGCAGCUCCCAUUCUCAGGCCCAGUUUUAGCCCUGGGGCCGUGUAGAGCAAGUCCACAUCUCUUCUCCAUGGGACAGCUCUUCAGAUAUUUAGCAACCACUGUUCUGGUCUUCCCAGCUCCAGGGUGAACACCGCCCCCAGCCCACCGUUGCAAACACGGUGGGGUCUUCCUGGUCAUCCUUCUCUGAACAGGUCCUAGUUUGUCUCUACCCCUUCAUUUAGAAGUGGGGUGCCCAGAAAUGCAAACAAUGGCCGUCUGCAUGCUGUUCAUCCUGUAACACAGAAUCCAGUGCUGGGAUAACAGCGGGAAGCAAGACAGACAGGGUCCAGCUGUCCUGAAGCUCCUGUUCCAGCUAAGGGGGUGGGGGAUGGAGAGAAACAAAUAAGGAACAUAUCAGAGAGUGAGAGAGGCUCUUCUGAGAGCUGCAGCAGGGGUCUACCAUAAAGCAUGACCAGUGGUCAGGUAGCCUCUUUGCGGGACUGGUGUUUAUGCCCAGGUCCGAAUGACAAGAACAGCUAAAGCAAAGUCCCUAAUGCACCACAGACCCCCUCCUUCACCCCCCUUUCCCUAAGGCCCCACCACCCUCCGAUCCUCCCGCCCCACGCUGGCUCCUAUCUCUCUCCAAAUCACAGGCAUUCCCCAAGCAGGGCCAGCGCCAGAAGGGUGGGCCCUGGGGCAGCUCAGCCACUCUGGGGGCCGCCGAAGGUAAUCACACUGAAAUUCCAGGAUUGAAUUCAAUGACAUGGAGAAGAGAAAAGAGGAUUAGGUGUAGUUCAAGCCGCCCAGCCCUCUCCCCACCAGUGUGGGGUCCAGGCUAUUGGGUGCCCUUCUCAAAGGUCUGCUUCUGAGCAGAAGGAACCAGGAUCCAAAAGACAGGUAGAAAGGGUGCCUGGAAUGGGGGUGCCCUGCAGCCUGGUCUUCAGCGAACCCCAACCUCUCCACUGAGCCCACAAAACCCACUACCCAGGUGGUCUUCAAAGAUACCUGGAUGCUAUCAGACUCAGCUGAAACACCCAGCAGCCUCUGCCCUCUGGUGGGAUCAAUCCCAAAGCCCACGUGGUGACAGCUCUCCAGCGGGCACCUGCCCUCCAACGCAAUCAUCUGUGCUGUGUCCAUGACCCCACGGAGAGCGCUGUCAAGGAGGUGCUUUCCUGCAUCACCAGUGCCCAGCUCUGUGCCUGCAAAGAAUCCGGUCUACACACACAUUUGUUGAAGGAAGAAAAGAAGGGAGGAAGGGAGGGGUGAGAGAAGAAAGGAACUCUGAGCUGCAUCCUCAGCCCUCCCAUCACAGGCCAGCUCUCAGAAGUGGGCGCUGGCUCCUGUUUGCACACUUGGGACAGCUCUGGUCUCCUCCUCCUUGUCUCCCAUGUGCGCAUGCCUGAAGGAGCUCAGAACCCCGACUUCCUUCCACCUGAAGAUGCUGGAGUUGUGGUAGGGUGCAGGGUUCAGACCGUCUCCCGGGAACGGGUUGCAGGGGGAAGGCAGGGCAGGAAGGCCCGAGACACUCCCCCCAGGAGCUUCUGCGUUUUGGCCAGCACGGCCCUGGCCGGAGGGCAGCCCAGGGCUUUUCUCCCCUCCAUUUCUGGAGCCUGGCCACAGGCCUCUGGACAGCACACUCUGCCCUGUUCCUACCAGAGGCUGAGGCCCCUCGGGCUCCCUGUGGCUCCAGGAUUCUGAGAACUGGACAUGUUGUCACCAUUUGACAUGGCAAGAGGCCAGAAGUGUCCAAGGGUAGCCGGUCCUCCGAUAGUGACAAG
ensembl:lncRNA